rnacentral:lncRNA from 1 species
UGGCCACUGAAGAACCAGUUGUAGCAAACGAGGUUGCAAUUGAACCCGCCGCUCCUGAACCGGUCACGGAGGAGGAGAUUAACCCUCCAGCCAAGUCUGCAAAAUCAAAGAAAGAGCCUAAGGCUAAAAAACCCGCUGCCCCCAGGAAGAAAACUGCUUCCUCUCAUCCUCCUUACUUUGAGGUAAUUGAUAAUGGAGUUUUUCAUAUAUUUUCAUUUUUCAGUUUUGUUCAUGUAUGUUUUUGGUUUGGUUGAAUUAUGCUUUGAAGUUAAACUUUUUUUUUUUGGUUGCUGCAGAUGAUUAGCGAUGCGAUUGUGACAUUGAAGGAGAGAACUGGAUCGAGCCAGUACGCUAUAACGAAGUUCAUUGAGGAUAAGCAGAAGAAUCUUCCACCGAAUUUCAAAAAGCUGUUGCUGAAUCAAUUGAAGAAGCUUGUUGCUUCUGGUAAGCUGGUGAAAGUCAAGAGCUCCUACAAGCUUCCAUCGGCUCGUUCUGCUACUGCGGCUUCUAAGCCUGCUGCUGCUGCUGCUGCUCCGGCGAAGAAGAAGACUGCUGCAGCUGCUAAGCCCAAAGCGGCGAAGGCAAAGCCCGCUGCAAAGCCGAAACCCAAACCAAAGGCUGCUGCCAAGCCCGCUGCAAAGGCCAAACCUGCUGCAAAGGCCAAGCCUGCUGCUAAGGCAAAACCUGCUGCUAAGGCAAAACCCGCUGCCAAGGCAAAGCCUGCUGCCAAGGCUAAGCCCGCUGUUAAGCCCAAGCCCAAAGCGAUUGUUGCUGCUAAGCCCAAAGCUGCCGCUGCUAAGCCUAAAGCUACUCCUGUGAAGGCAAAGGCGGCUACUAAGCCAAAGGC